rnacentral:rRNA from 1 species
GACGAACGCUGGCGGUGUGCCUCACACAUGCAAGUCGAACGGGGUAGCAAUACCCAGUGGCGGACGGGUGAGUAACACGUGGGAAUCUGCCUUUGAGUGGGGGACAACUGGCCGAAAGGCUAGCUAAUACCCCAUACGCCGCAAGGUAAAAGGAGCAAUCCGCUCGAAGAUGAGCCCGCGUCCGAUUAGCUAGUUGGUAGGGUAAAAGCCUACCAAGGCUUCGAUCGGUAGCUGGUCUGAGAGGAUGAUCAGCCACAAUGGGACUGAGACACGGCCC